GUUACUUUGGCAGAUAAGUGUAAUGAAUUUAGAAUUCAUAAAUGUAUGGAUUAUAUACAAGUAAUA
rnacentral:tRNA from 1 species